CCUACGGGGGGCAGCAGUGGGGAAUAUUGCACAAUGGGGGAAACCCUGAUGCAGCGACGCCGCGUGAGUGAAGAAGUAUUUCGGUAUGUAAAGCUCUAUCAGCAGGGAAGAAGAAAGACGGUACCUGACUAAGAAGCCCCGGCUAACUACGUGCCAGCAGCCGCGGUAAUACGGAGGAUGCGAGCGUUAUCCGGAUUUAUUGGGUUUAAAGGGUGCGCAGGCGGCGUGUCAAGUCAGCGGUAAAAUGUCGGGGCUCAACCCCGGCCGGCCGUUGAAACUGGCGUGCUCGAGUUGCAGAGAAGUAUGCGGAAUUCGUGGUGUAGCGGUGAAAUGCAUAGAUAUCACGAAGAACCCCGAUUGCGAAGGCAGCAUACCGGCUCCACACUGACGCUGAGGCACGAAAGCGUGGGUAUCGAACAGGAUUAGAUACCCCGGUAGUC
rnacentral:rRNA from 1 species